GAGAGCAAAAAACCCGAAUCAAAGGUUGUUACUUGCAUUUUUUUUUGUUAUAUGCAUUUAUUUUUUAUCGUUUAUAUAUAUAUAAAUAAUAUAAGAGGAAAGAAAUCACCUUUCUUUAACUUUGAAGUGGCGCCGAAGCGUUGAGGGAGCCACGCCGAGGAUCGGUGGCCGGAAACCGAAAGGUUUUCGUGAUUUCCCCGCAUAUUCCGUUGGAUUUUGGAAAUUUUGAGCCUCGAUUUGAGUUUGGAAAGGUUAAAAGGGCCGAAAAAGAUAUUUUCAUAUUUCCGGCCACCGUAGACGGCAGUGCCGGCAUCGAAGAUCAGCGGCCGGCGCGGUGGCCGGUGACCGCCGAUGACCGGACAGGAGGACGGUGCCCGUGGUGUUGAGAGCUUUUUUUUGAAGGAUUUUUGUUUUUUUUCUUUGAAUGAUUGAAAAUGAAAUUGUUUUUUUUUUAUAAUUUUGGCUUAAAUAACCGAUUGAAAACGAUACCGUUUUGAAGGGAGGAUUCGCGCGUCGACCCUACCCAGAUCCAGGGAUCCGCGUGUUUUCAUACGUAGGGGAAAAUUGCAUUUUUGACCCCUCCGCCUUUUAAUGAAUUUUUAAUUAGGUUUUUUGUGUUUUUAAAUUUGUUCUUUAAUUUAUUUUUCAUUUCAAUUUAAUCCUACUGGAACGGCGCCGUUUUAGAGGAGAAGGGAAAAUUUCCUUCCAGCCCCUCUAUGUAAUUCGCGCGUUCAAUUUAGUCCUUUGAUUUUUACUAUUUGCGGAUUUUACCCAUUUUUUAAAAAAAAAAUUGCAAUUCAAUGUAGAUUUUUUUCUCAUUAUUUUUUUUAUUAUCAAUUAAUAAUAUUUUUUUCCUUAUAUUACUUUUUUUUAAAAAAGAAACCUAUAUAUAUGUAUAUUUUUUAUGUAUAUAAUUAUUUUUUUGCAACUAAUAUUUUUCUCAUGUUUAUGUGUAUACAUAUUUAUUUUAUUAAUUAACUUCAAAAAUGUAGAUAUUAUUUAAUUAUUUUAAAUUAUAUAUUUUUAUGUGUACAUGUAUACAUUUUUUUUAUUUCAAUCAAUUGUCUGAUGAUUUAGGUUUACAUAUUUUUAUUAUUAUCUUGCCCAUUUAUUUGAUAUUUUGCAUGCCAUUAUUGUAUUUAUUUGUUUAUAUAUUUGCAUUAUUUCUAUGCUAUCGUAAUAUUUAUUAUUGCAUUUUAUAUUUAAAGUAGCAUAACAUUACAUUUUACUCAAUUUUUAAAAUCAAAUAUUUUUUCAAUGGAGAUAAUGCUUGUAUUUAGGAUUUUCAAGAAAAUUGAGCCCUAACAUAUUGGGUUCCAAUUUUCUUCGUUAAAUCUGACAUUCGAGUAUUCUUCUUUAAUCAAAAAUAAAAGGUCAUUAUUGAGAAUUCAACACGUUGUGUCCUAACGUAUUGGAUGUGACGCAUUGAUUUCUCGAAAUGAAAUUUUUUUCUAAAAACAAUAAAGGAAAUAUUCCGAGUUUGGGAUUUUAAAGGAACUGUGCCCUAACGUAUUGGGCCGCGAUUUCUUAAAUCUUGGAUAAAUGGAUAUUCUUUUAAUUUUUUUCAUUAUACGAGUAUUCUAACCUAAUUCAUUUUGGAGGAAAUUAGAAUGUUGUGCCCUAACGCAUUGGGUGUAGCAUUUUUGCUUCUCUGAAUUGAGAAGGGUCUUAAUACGUAACGUUUUAAGUUUUUAAAGAUUGUAUUUUUAAAAUUUCCGACCUUAAGACACUAAUUAAUUAAUUAGGUACCAAUUUUGGGUGUUACGAGGGUGCUAAUCCUUCCUCGUACGUAAUUGACUCCAGGACCCGUUUUUUCUAAAAUUCGUAGACCAAAAUCAUUUUAGGUGAUCCAAUCACACCACAAUAAAAGAUUGGUGGCGACUCCUGAAUUUUCACUUUUUUUAAAGUCAACAACCUAAAAUUUUUUAUUUUUCAAAAAAACGGUUUCGACAGCUUAAUGACUCCGCUGGGGACUUUUUUAAAAUAAGAGAGUCGAGCCACAAAGUUGAUUAAUUUUUGUCUUAUAGUCGAGAAAAUACUUUAAAAAAAACUCAUGACAUCCUUUUGCAUUCAUUAUCUUCUUGUUUAAAUAUUGUUUGCAUUCUACAUUUCAUGAGUUGAACAAUUUUACCCUUUUAAGUGGGAGUGAGAAGUUAUGCCUUCGUGAGGUUUUCACCUCCGUAUAGGAUAGUGGAUCGCUUUCGGGAUACAUCGGUACCUAUGCCUUCGUGAGAUUUUCAUCUCCGUAUAGUCAUAGGGAAAAUGUGUCCCCCUGAACCAAACUUGAUCUAUAUGAGCCUAUAAUGGGUGAGGAUCAAGGAAUCUGCUGGUUCGAGUACCUUUACUUUAGGGCCAAACCGCAUGUAACGAGCCUUAGAAGCUUGCCUUAGGUAGAACUACACUAAACCCUAAUAGAUGUCCUAAUAGAUGUUUUACUCUUCCUUGAUUAUAUGCUUGUAUUGGAUACUGACUCUUGUGCUUUAUUUUGUUUGCAUGACAUGGCAUUUCAUUUCAUCAUAAAAGGCGUCAGUUCAGAUUUGGUUGCUAGAUAGAAAGCUUAACAUGGAAAAAGGGUUUUUUGAUAAAGUGGAGGACAAUGCGGCUGUCCGAACUUAGUCUGAAACAACGCAGCAAGAAAAGGGUGAUAGCUUGGCAGAAGGGUAUGUAUCGAAAUUAUGUGAUUUUACUAGCAUCAGUGUGGCUCAAAACAAUUUGCAGGAGUUGAAAGAAAUUUGGGAUCAGUGGAAUAAUGAGGUUAGGUAGUCAUUUUACAACAAUUAUGGGGACUUGCCUUAUUUUCUUGAUGUGAAGGUAGACAAACAUUUGUUUCGAGCCCUCGCCCAAUUUUGGAAUCCUGCUUACAGUUGCUUCACGUUUGGGAAUGUCGAUUUGGUACUUACGAUAGAGGAGUAUGUGGUUUUACUCCGAUGUUCAAAGUUUCAAGUGGAUAGGGUCUACUCGAGAGCGGUGAAUGUGCCAACCUUUUCAAAAAAGCUGAUAGGAAUAACAGGGAUGAGUGAGUAGUGGGUCGCUGCACGAGUUAAGCAAAAGGGGGACAGCAAGUGCAUUCCUUGGAGGAGCUUGAAGGAUGCAAUUCUUACCCACCCAGACGUAAGAAAGAGGUUAGAUAUCUUCGAUUUAAGUAUAUACGGCUUGGUUGUUUUCCCUAAAGCCUUGGGGCAUGUGGACGAAGCAGUCACCGAUUUAUUCGAUCGGCUUGAUAAGAAGGUUACACCGAUUCCAGUAAUUUUGGCAGAAACCUUCAGGUCAUUGAGUGCAUGCCGAAAGACGGGUGAGGGUAGAUUUAUCGGAUGUGUGCAGCUUCUACUCGUAUGGUUUCACAGUCACUUUUGGAAUGUGGAUAAAGUUUCGUAUCGGGUCUUUUCUGAAAAUUAUUCACCCCUAAAAGAGAUAGUUGCUACGCCGAGGAGGGAUGACAUUUCGGAGGAAAAAUGGAUGGCAAUUCUUCAAAAUCUUCAAGAGGAAGAUGUUGAGUGGAGAGCUCCUUGGUUACUUCCAGAUGAGAUCUUAUAUAGGUAUGGUAAUUUCGAUUGGGUACUUUUAUUGGGUAUUUGGGGAGCUGUCGGAUAUGCCCCAUUAUUGGUGCUAAGGCAAUAUAGGUCAAGACAGUUUAUACCUGCGACCCAAGGGAUAACUGAUCGUGAAUUUUCAUACAAAGAUGAUGGUUAUAGAAAGAAGAUUCAAGAAAUGUCCAAUACGUGGAAACAGACUCGCCGAAUGAAGAGGUUAGCUGUGGGGCCGAUGAUAACUCCUGAGUAUUAUGGAUGGUGGACUGGGAGGAUUAAUGAUAACACACCUAAGUUAAAUCAUGAGGAUGGCCAGUCAAUAGAAGAGCGUUUGCGAGUCAUCCCUUCGGAAUUGGAAAUUGUAAGACAAGAUUUUGAGAGGAAGAACGCGGAGUUGGAGAAAAGGAUAGAGCAAAUGGAGGCGAAAAAACGAACUUGAGAUUAGACAUAGACGUUCAGAAGCUUGAGAAUGAGAGGUUGAAGAAAGAGAAAAACAAGGUUGAUAAGGAACUGGGCAGUUUAAAGACGGAUUAUAAAAAGUUGCGUUUGUCAAUAAGAACUGCUGGGCUGGGAAAGACGUCAGAACAGUGGCGAGUAGAAAUCCAAGAAGAAAAGGAUAAGGCCGAUAGAUGGGAACAGAGAUUUCAAGAGAUGCAAAGGCGAAAUGAGGCUUUAAAAAAGAAUUUGUCAGAAAUCCAGAAGGAAAAGGGAGAGUUAAAGGAUAGGGUGAUUGUGUUGGACAGAUCUCGUCGUCAGUAUCGAAGUCGAAACUCUACGAUAGAGUUGAAAGCAAGCUUGAGCAAGAUUGACGAAAUUAAAAAAAUAAUUGAAGAGCUAGAGACGGUGUUGCAAAAUUGUGAGAUUCAGAUCAAGCACUUAAAAGCAAACGAAAGUCGUAAUAAUGGACAGCUUCACCACUUUCAGAGUCAAGUUAGGAGCAGAGAUCAUCUCAUGGAGGAAGCUGUGGUCCAGAUUCGAGAAGUAGCUGAUUACGUUUAGACUUUAGCAGUACAGGCUGACAUGCUGAGUGUGAAGUAUGAAUUCGAAUCGGAUCGGGGGCAAGAAUUAGCUUUGUUACUUAGGAAGAUUAGAGUUCUGAGUACUAGGGCAAAAUCUUAUUUGUAAUUCUGUUUAUGUAAAGAAAUUUGCUUUCUAGUAAGGUUUUCGUAUAUAGAAUUGAAUCAAAAUUGACGCCUUUUUGCAUUCAAGCAUUGCAUUACUUCAUAUGCAUUUAAAAACAUUAAAAUAUUCUAAUUAAUUUAAGUCACUCCUCAGUUAAUCUGGAAACCAACCAAUCAACCGAACACCGUUAUAGUACCCGAGCAAAGUCAGGAGGCAUGGACCAAAGAUUGGAGAGAAUGGAGCAAAUGAAAAUACAGAUGCAAGAGCAAUUGACUGAAUUUCAACAAGAAAUGAGGAAUCAGAUGCUAGAAUUCCAAAUAAAUAUGAGCCAGCUAACCCAGUUAUUGGGUAAAGGGAAAAGUCCAGCGGCUCACUUUGGGGAUGAUAAUGAAGACCCUAUAUAUUCCCCAGAUUUUACCUUGAUAAGUGUCCAGGCCCAACCAGACGCAUGUCCACAGGAGGCACUCUUUACUAUCAGAUCUCGACAAUAUUUGACUGGUACAUCGACGCCAGUGUAUCGCCUGACAGACUCAAAAUCCAAUCCUGUUGCUCUUGACAAUUCAUCAGAAAUAAAACAGGCGAAGGUAGAGCACCCAGGUACUAUAAAAGCCUCAAGGAAGAAAGGGAAUAAGGGGACAAAUGAAGGCAGAUAUAACAAGGGCCACUCAAGACCAAUCGCUGUGGGCCGGCUAAAGACAGAAACUACUAGAUGUCAAGGCCUUUUAAAUCAAGAAUUAUAUGUGAAGUCAGGUACUGAAAAACUCCAGUUCAUGCCAAUUCCAGUGUCAUACAAGGGGCUGUAUCAAAGCUUAUUCGAUGCGCACGUUGUUUCUCCUUUACAUGUGAAGCCUCCACAGCCUCCGUAUCCCAAAUGGUACGACACAGGUGCACAAUGCGAUUAUCAUGCGGGAAGUACGGGGCACUCAAUAGAGAAUUGCAUUGCCUUCAAAAAGCUAGUUGAAAAAUUCAUCGACAUGGGUAUUGUCAAGUUGGAUGACUCAUCUAAUGCAGGAAAUUCGCUACCCAAUCAUGAUUGAUAAUGGUAUGAAUGCAAUAUAUGAAGAGGUGUUGAGAAGUGUUCACAAACGAAGACACAAUUGAAAAGGGACCUUGUUAGAUAUCCGCCCUUAUAAAAUAUGGGAGUGUUUUAAGUAAUUGGAUUACGGAAGAAAUCUCUGUAGUCUUUAGAGCUUGUUUAGAGUAAUGUUCAGAACAUUCUUGUUGCUUUUAGCCUAAAAACGAUAGGAAUUCCUUUGUGAAAUAGGCUCAUGUCUGAACAUCAUUAUUCUAAUACAAUACAUCUUUGCAUUUGAGCUAAUAUUCUUUCAUUCUUUGCGAGUAAUUAUUUUUUCAUUCUUUUGGAUUUUCUUCCACAUUAUUCUUUCGUUCAUAAUUAUAUUGUACAAAUAAUCAUUCGUAAAUUCACACAUUCUUUUGUAUAUUCUUUUGAAAUUACUAUGGGUCCUCAGAUAUUAAUGACAUGAGUGACGCUGCUACUGACUCAGAAUCUCCUUCUGAGCGAGACAUGUGUUUAGAGGGAUCUCAUAACUUUAAAGAUGUCAUAGAUUGUAGCCUAUUUCUGGACCUGUUAAGGAUGGUAGAACAAGUCGAAAAAUGGAUCUCACCCUACAAAGAAUUAUUAGGAUACAUGACUUCUCCUUAUGUGGGGCAUGGAGGUCAUUUGGUCAAUCUCGCCAAAAAAGUCUGACGGUCAUCAAUUCAUCUUUGUGAUCGUCAAUUACUUUACUAAAUGUGUGGAAGCUACUUCGUAUGUCAAUUCUUGAAGAAUCAUAUGGAACGCCAAAAGGAUCAUAUCUGACAAUGUACUAAAUUUGAACAACAGCACAAUAUCAAAAAUUUGCAGUCUGUUCACGAUUAAUGUCAUAUUGCCUAAAGAAAAUAUGAAAAAAAACUAUGCCGGGGCAAUGACUUUCUUUUGGGCCCAUCGUGGUUUUGCCUAUUGAAGACAAGAUUCUUUCACUCUGAGUUUUUAGAUCUAAUUGAAGAGGAAUGUUCAAAGUUAUCCAUCAUGGUCAAAUGCGCCAAAAGAAAAUGAUGCGAGCUCACAAAAAAGGUCCGCCCUAAAGAACUCCUUGAGAGGGACCUGGUAUUGAAGAGGAUCUUUCCCUUACAAAAAGAAUUUUAUCUAAGAUGGGAAGGAUCUUAUAUUGAAGGCCUUAUCUGGAAAAGUGUUGAUUUUGAUCAAAAGGGAUAACAAGGACAUGCCUAAUCCUAUGAGUUCAGAUUCAAUCAAAAUUAUUUUGAAAAAAAAAAGAAAAAAAAAAGAAAAUGGAUAGGCCAAGGUGAAAACCCGCAAAGGGCGCCUUGAGACCAAAGGGGAUUUGAGUUGAAAACCCGAAAAGGGCGGCUCAAAUAUUGAUUAGAAUGGGGCAAGAGGUGAUCAGAGAAGUUUAAAUUUUGACCAGAUAGGGGGGCAUGUGGUGAUCUAGUUAUACUCGAACCAACGGGAAAGAGUAGGCAACAUCUUGAGGCAUCGACAGAGUACUGUAGAUCUCUCAAACACAUGUCAAACUCAGAAGUGUCUUCAGAAAGUUUGUACAGAGAAGUUCAAGCUGCGAUAUCUGGGGCACCCAAUUUUCAUAAUAUUUAUAUUGAAUACUUCAUUCAUUUCUAAGAUACAUAUUCCCAAUUGAUUUCUUUGUUAUCCUUCUUAAUUAUUUUUGAUAAUUUAUUCCUUUCGAGCUAUGCUCAGAACUAACUUUAUUCUUAUCAAUUGUUAUGACCUUUUUGCAAAUAUGUGAAAUAAUGAUUAAUGGACUAAUAAAACUUUUACAAUGGAAGUUUUGCAUAUUACUCUAUAAGUUUCUAAAUAAUACAGGAGCCUGAAACAUGACUAUUAUUUAGAACGCACCAGGUUUAAAGGUUGGAAAUCUGAAAAGGAAUAGUCUAAACUAGGACUUUCUCUUUGGAUUUUGUUGUCAAAAACAUUGGUUGAACCAAAUGAUAAGAUGUCAGGUUGGUGACAAAGCUAAAAUAAACAAGUGAGCAAUGAUCACCAGGCAAUAGGAAGAGGUUUUCUCGGAGAAGAAAGCCUUCAUUUGCACAUGAGCCUUUGGUGCAACACCUUAGGCAUGGUGUAAAGGACCAAAGAAUUUCACAUUCUGUAUUCUUGAAUUGUGAUAGGAAUGGAUGGAGAAAAAGCCAUAUAUUUCUACCCUCGGGUUGCAGUGGGAGAAUGAUGGUACAAAUUUUUGCGUCCUAUUGGAUUGAACUUUGAAGUUUACAGUAGGGGCAAUCUGACUAAAUGGAAAUGCCAGCUGAGCGAAUGAGUUAUGGCGCGUCAGUGAUAAAACCUUAAUAAAUGUCGAGCAAUGAUAACUUAAGCGAUAAUGAAAGAUCGCUGUAAAAAAAUGACAUUUUGCAUUCAUGCAAACAUCAUUCAUACAUGUCUAGUUAGGAGCAUUUGAUGCAUUUUAUGCCAUCCUAAUCAUUAGACAUAAUUAGGUUUACUAUACAGGUCAUGUUCCCGAGAGAGCAGAUCAAUGAAGAUAACAGAUCGAGUCUUAUCUCCCUGAAGUUGUAGUGGAGCAGACUAAGUAGGCAAGUAUUAUCCUCCUGAAGUUGCAGUGAGGCAGACUGAAGAUGGCAAAUCAUAUCUCCCUGAAGUUGCAGUAGAGCAGAUUAAAGCCGACAAUCCUAUCUCCCUGAAGUUGCAGUGGAGCGGAUUAAAACCUCAGAUCUUAUCUCUCUGAAGUUGCAGAGAGCAGAUCGCAUCUAGUUUUAUCUCCCUAAAGUUGCAGUGGAACAGACUAAGUAAGCAAGUCUUAUCUCCCUGAAGUUGCAGUGGAGCAGAUUAAAGCCGAUAAUCCUAUCUCCCUGAAAUUAUAGUGGAGCAGAUUAAAACCUCAAAUAUUAUCUCUCUGAAGUUGCAGAGAGAAGAUCGCAUCUAGUUUUAUCUCCCUGAAGUUACAGUGGAGCAGACUAAGUAAGCAAGUCUUAUCCUCCUGAAGUUGUAGUGGGGCAGACUGAAGAUAGCAAGUCUUAUCUCCCUGAAGUUGCAGUGGAGCAGAUUAAAACCGAUAAUCCUAUCUCCCUGAAGUUGUAGUGGAGCGGAUUAAAGCCUUAGAUCUUAUCUCUCUGAAGUUGCAGAGAGCAGAUCACAUUUAGUCUUAUCUCCUUGAAGUUGCAGUGGAGCAGACUAAACAGACAAUCCUAUCUCUCUGAAGUUACAGUGGAGCAGAUUAAAGCCGACAAUUCUAUCUCCCUGAAGUUGCAGUGGAGCGGAUUAAAAUCUCAAAUCUUAUCUCACUGAAGUUGCAGAGAGCAGAUCGCGUCUAGUCUUAUCUCCCUGAAGUUGUAGUGGAGCUGACUAAGUAAGCAAAUCUUAUCUCCCUAAGCAGUAGUGGAGCAAAUCGAAGAUGGCGGAUUUUACCUCCCUGUGGUUACAUUAGAGUACAUUGAAGCCAGUAAUUCUACUUCCCUAGGCAACAGUGGAAUAGAUUGAAGAUUGUAAGUUUUAUUUCCCUGAAGUUGCAGUGGAAUAGACUAAUGAAACAAGUCUGAUCCUCCUGGAAUUGUAGUGAGGUAGACUGAAGAUGGCGAAUCUUAUCUCCCUGAAGAUGCAGUGGAGUAGAUUGAAGCACUAGUUCCUGUACCUCUGAAGAUGCAGUAGGAAGGAAUGAGGCUACUUGAAGAAGAAGAGUACCAAGAUCCGGCAAGAUCGGACAAAAAUCGGGCAUUUUAAAGUCUUUGAUCCGUUCCCGUUACACGACAACGAGCAAAGAGGGGCAACUGUAAUACCCAAUUUUUUGCCCUGGGAACAAAUUAUAAACGGGCCCAAAUGAAACUGCACAAUUACAACAAAAUGGGGGCCAAACCAAAAUAAAACACAGGCCCAAUAUGCGGUGGCCCAUAAUCGCCAGAAACCCUAAGGUUUCUAAUCUUCAACAGCGCCGCAACUCCAAUCUUGGCCGAAUCUCCAUGGAUUCACCUGCAUAGCAAGAAAAAACGAAAAUGGAAAGGGAAUAAAAAAUAUUUGUAAAUCAAAUCAAGAACAGAUUUCUUUCUUUCUUUAGAUUUAUUUCAUACGGCUAUAAGAGGCCAUUGAACACACUGUAAACGGGAUGGGAUUUUCGAAAAGAGAAAUAAAAAACUAUUACUUUCACAAUAUAGAGAGCAAAAAACCCAAAUCAAAGGUUGUUACUUGCAUUUUUAUUUUUUUUGUUAUAUGCAUUUAUUUUUUAUCGUUUAUAUAUAUAGAAAUAAUAUAAGAGGAAAGAAAUCACCUUUCUUUAACUUUGAAGUGGCGCCGAAGCGUUGAGGGAGCCACGCCGAGGAUCGGUGGCCGGAAACCGAAAGGUUUUCGUGAUUUCCCCGUAUAUUCCGUUGGAUUUUGGAAAUUUUGAGCCCCGAUUUGAGUUUGGAAAGGUUAAAAGGGCCGAAAAAGAGAUUUUCAUAUUUCCGGCCACCGUAGACGGCAGUGCCGAC
rnacentral:lncRNA from 1 species